GAUGAACGCUGGCGGCGUGCCUAAUACAUGCAAGUCGAGCGAACGGACGAGAAGCUUGCUUUUCUGAUGUUAGCGGCGGACGGGUGAGUAACACGUGAAUAACCUACCUAUAAGACUGGGAUAACUUCGGGAAACCGGAGCUAAUACCGGAUAAUAUUUUGAACCGCAUGGUUCAAAAGUGAAAGACGGUCUUGCUGUCACUUAUAGAUGGAUCCGCGCUGCAUUAGCUAGUUGGUAAGGUAACGGCUUACCAAGGCAACGAUGCAUAGCCGACCUGAGAGGGUGAUCGGCCACACUGGAACUGAGACACGGUCCAGACUCCUACGGGAGGCAGCAGUAGGGAAUCUUCCGCAAUGGGCGAAAGCCUGACGGAGCAACGCCGCGUGAGUGAUGAAGGUCUUCGGAUCGUAAAACUCUGUUAUUAGGGAAGAACAUAUGUGUAAGUAACUGUGCACAUCUUGACGGUACCUAAUCAGAAAGCCACGGCUAACUACGUG
rnacentral:rRNA from 1 species